GAAAACCACGUGGCAGAAGGCGCGGGGAUACGGGGGGUGCAAGGGUUAAUCGGAAUUACUGGGCGUAAAUCGCACGGAGGCGGUUGGAUAAGUUAGAUGUGAAAGCCCCGGGCUCAACCUGGGAAUUGCAUUUAAAACUGUCCAGCUAGAGUCUUGUAGAGGGGGGUAGAAUGCCAGGUGUAGCGGUGAAAUGCGUAGAGAUCUGGAGGAAUACCGGUGGCGAAGGCGGCCCCCUGGACAAAGACUGACGCUCAGGUGCGAAAGCGUGGGGAGCAAACAGGAUUAGAUACCCUGGUAGUC
rnacentral:rRNA from 1 species